CGUGUUCACGGCGGACCUUGAUUUAAUAUCCAUACAAUUAAGGCACGCGGUGAAUGCCAA
rnacentral:pre_miRNA from 1 species